GAUAGCUCAGCUGGAUAGAGCGGUUGCCUCCUAAGCAACAGGUCGGGGGUUCGAAUCCCUUUC
rnacentral:tRNA from 1 species